rnacentral:rRNA from 1 species
UGUCGUCAGCUCGUGUCGUGAGAUGUUGGGUUAAGUCCCGUAACGAGCGCAACCCUUGUCCUUAGUUACCAGCACGUUAUGGUGGGCACUCUAGGGAGACUGCCGGUGACAAACCGGAGGAAGGUGGGGAUGACGUCAAGUCAUCAUGGCCCUUACGGCCUGGGCUACACACGUGCUACAAUGGUCGGUACAAAGGGUUGCCAAGCCGCGAGGUGGAGCUAAUCCCAUAAAACCGAUCGUAGUCCGGAUCGCAGUCUGCAACUCGACUGCGUGAAGUCGGAAUCGCUAGUAAUCGUGAAUCAGAAUGUCACGGUGAAUACGUUCCCGGGCCUU